UCCGCCGUAGCACGAUAUUGUCCUUUUUGGGCCCCCCUCUCUGCCUGGACGGUUUUGUUUCUGGGAGCUCACGAGCAACUUCCCAGUGGGUCACCCAUCCUGGGAUUGCUCUAGCCCCCAACUCGCUUAACUUCGAAGUUCCUACGACUCCGAAGUCAGUGAGCUCCCAAAAGGCCUCAUGCUAGAUGGAUGCGGGUGUGCACAUAUAAGGCACAUCACCCCCUCUCCGUUGGUUGAUG
rnacentral:lncRNA from 1 species